rnacentral:rRNA from 1 species
GAUGAACGCUGGCGGCGUGCCUAAUACAUGCAAGUCGAGCGAACAGACGAGGAGCUUGCUCCUCUGACGUUAGCGGCGGACGGGUGAGUAACACGUGGAUAACCUACCUAUAAGACUGGGAUAACUUCGGGAAACCGGAGCUAAUACCGGAUAAUAUAUUGAACCGCAUGGUUCAAUAGUUAAAGACGGUUUUGCUGUCACUUAUAGAUGGAUCCGCGCCGCAUUAGCUAGUUGGUAAGGUAACGGCUUACCAAGGCAACGAUGCGUAGCCGACCUGAGAGGGUGAUCGGCCACACUGGAACUGAGACACGGUACCGACUCCUACGGGAGGCAGCAGUAGGGAAUCUUCCGCAAUGGGCGAAAGCCUGACGGAGCAACGCCGAGUGAGUGAUGAAGGUCUUCGGAUCGUAAAACUCUGUUAUUAGGGAAGAAGAAAUGUGUAAGUAACUAUGAACGUCUUGACGGUACCUAAUCAGAAAGCCACGGGUAACUACGUG